UUUUGCUUUUUUCUUCCUUAAUUCCUCGGCGGGGUCGGGGCGGUGCGUACGUCCGCGCGUGGCGGCUGCCCGCGGGGGCCGGCGCGGUGGGGGCGGGGGGCGCGGGGUCCCGCGGGCGCGGGGCUCUGCCGCGGCGGCGCGAAGCGGAGCGACGCGGAACGGAACCGGGGGGGAGCGCGGAACCGCGCCUCUCCGCCCGGGACACGCGGUGCCGCCGCCCUGAGCGCAGGUGUCUGAAGUUCUGCUUGCCUUCAAAAGUAGUGCUGAAUUCCCAGGAUGUAAGAAAUACAGUGCAGUGUCACGCAGCAAAUGUGAGCUGAUGGUCACAGUUGGGGCUGAAAUCCUUUAUUAAACAAAACAAAAGUCAAGUGAAGAAGGAAGGUUGGAACCGUUCACAAGAUCUUUCAGUUUAUUGCUCAACCUGUCAUAGAAGUCACCUUCUG
rnacentral:lncRNA from 1 species